UACGAAGGUGGCAAGCGUUACUCGGAAUUACUAGGCGUAAAGGGCAGGUAGGUGGUUUGGUUAGUCUGUUGUGAAAGCUCCUUGCUUAACGGGGAGAGGUCAACAGAUACUGCCAGACUUGAGUCUAGGAGAGGGUACUGGAAUUCCCGGUGUAGCGGUGAAAUGCGCAGAGAUCGGGAGGAACACCAAUGGCGAAAGCAGGUACCUGGACUAGUACUGACACUCAGCUGCGAAAGCUAGGGGAGCAAACAGG
rnacentral:rRNA from 1 species